rnacentral:rRNA from 1 species
ACCCGGCACAAGCGGUGGAUGAUGUGGAUUAAUUCGAUGCAACGCGAAAACCUUACCUACCCUUGACAUGUCCAGGAGUCUUGAGAGAUUGAGAUGUGCCCGAAAGGGAACUGGAACACAGGUGCUGCAUGGCUGUCGUCAGCUCGUGUCGUGAGAUGUUGGGUUAAGUCCCGCAACGAGCGCAACCCUUGUCGUUAAUUGCCAUCAUUUAGUUGGGCACUUUAACGAGACUGCCGGUGACAAACCGGAGGAAGUGGGGAUGACGUCAAGUCCUCAUGGCCCUUAUGGGUAGGGCUUCACACGUCAUACAAUGGUCGGUACAAAGGGUUGCCAAGCCGCGAGGUGGAGCCAAUCCCAGAAAGCCGAUCGUAGUCCGGAUUGCAGGCUGCAACUCGCCUGCAUGAAGUCGGAAUCGCUAGUAAUCGUGGAUCAGCAUGUCACGGUGAAUACGUUCCCGGGUCUU